GACGAACGCUGGCGGCGUGCCUAAUACCUGCAAGUAGAACGCAGUUGCGAACGGGUGAGUAACGCGUAGGUAACUGCCCCAUAGCGGGGGAUAACUAUUGGAAACCAUAGCUAAUACCGCAUAAUGUAAGACGGACCUGCGUUGUAUUGGCUAGUGGGUGAGGUAAAGGCCUACCAAGGCGACGAUACAUAGCCGACCUGAGAGGGUGUGCGGCCACACCGGGACUGAGACACGGCCCAGACUCCUACGGGAGGCAGCAGUAGGGGAUCUUCGGGAAUGGACGGAAGUCUGACCGAGCAACGCCGCGUGAGUGAAGAAGGUUUUCGGAUCGUAAAGCUCUGUUGUUAGAGAAGCGUUAACUAACCAGAAAGGGACGGCUAACUACGUGCCAGCAGCCGCGGUAAUUC
rnacentral:rRNA from 1 species